rnacentral:rRNA from 1 species
GAGUUUGAUCCUGGCUCAGAGCGAACGCUGGCGGCAGGCCUAACACAUGCAAGUCGAGCGGCCGUAGCAAUACGGCAGCGGCAGACGGGAGAGUAACACGUGGGAACGCGCCCUUCGGUUCGGAAUAACUCAGGGAAACUUGGGCUAAUACCGAAUACGCCCUUACGGGGAAAGAUUUAUCGCCGAAGGAACGGCCCGCGUCCGAUUAGCUUGUUGGUGAGGUAAUGGCUCACCAAGGCGACGAUCGGUAGCUGGUCUGAGAGGAUGACCAGCCUCACUGGGACUGAGACACGGCCCAGACUCCUACGGGAGGCAGCAGUGGGGAAUAUUGGACAAUGGGCGCAAGCCUGAUCCAGCCAUGCCGCGUGGGUGAUGAAGGCCCUA